AUUGAACGCUGGCGGCAUGCUUUACACAUGCAAGUCGAACGGCAGCGCGGGCUUCGGCCUGGCGGCGAGUGGCGAACGGGUGAGUAAUACAUCGGAACGUGCCCAGUAGUGGGGGAUAGCUCGGCGAAAGCCGGAUUAAUACCGCAUACGACCUGAGGGUGAAAGCGGGGGAUCUUCGGACCUCGCGCUAUUGGAGCGGCCGAUGGCAGAUUAGCUAGUUGGGGGGGUAAAGGCCUACCAAGGCGACGAUCUGUAGCUGGUCUGAGAGGACGACCAGCCACACUGGGACUGAGACACGGCCCAGACUCCUACGGGAGGCAGCAGUGGGGAAUUUUGGACAAUGGGCGAAAGCCUGAUCCAGCAAUGCCGCGUGUGUGAUGAAGGCCUUCGGGUUGUAAAGCACUUUUGGCGGGAACGAAAAGGACUGUGCCAAUACCACGGUUCGAUGACGGUACCCGCAGAAUAAGCACCGGCUAACUACGUG
rnacentral:rRNA from 1 species